GCUACAGGCUUAACACAUGCAAGUCGAGGGGCAGCAUGGUCUUAGCUUGCUAAGGCCGAUGGCGACCGGCGCACGGGUGAGUAACACGUAUCCAACCUGCCGUCUACUCUUGGACAGCCUUCUGAAAGGAAGAUUAAUACAAGAUGGCAUCAUGAGUCCGCAUGUUCACAUGAUUAAAGGUAUUCCGGUAGACGAUGGGGAUGCGUUCCAUUAGAUAGUAGGCGGGGUAACGGCCCACCUAGUCUUCGAUGGAUAGGGGUUCUGAGAGGAAGGUCCCCCACAUUGGAACUGAGACACGGUCCAAACUCCUACGGGAGGCAGCAGUGAGGAAUAUUGGUCAAUGGGCGAGAGCCUGAACCAGCCAAGUAGCGUGAAGGAUGACUGCCCUAUGGGUUGUAAACUUCUUUUAUAAAGGAAUAAAGUCGGGUAUGGAUACCCGUUUGCAUGUACUUUAUGAAUAAGGAUCGGCUAACUCCGUGCCAGCAGCCGCGGUAAUACGGAGGAUCCGAGCGUUAUCCGGAUUUAUUGGGUUUAAAGGGAGCGUAGAUGGAUGUUUAAGUCAGUUGUGAAAGUUUGCGGCUCAACCGUAAAAUUGCAGUUGAUACUGGAUAUCUUGAGUGCAGUUGAGGUAGGCGGAAUUCGUGGUGUAACGGUGAAAUGCUUAGAUAUCACGAAGAACUCCGAUUGCGAAGGCAGCCUGCUAAGCUGCAACUGACAUUGAGGCUCGAAAGUGUGGGUAUCAAACAGGAUUAGAUACCCUGGUAGUCCACACGGUAAACGAUGAAUACUCGCUGUNUGCGAUAUACAGCAAGCGGCCAAGCGAAAGCGUUAAGUAUUCCACCUGGGGAGUACGCCGGCAACGGUGAAACUCAAAGGAAUUGACGGGGGCCCGCACAAGCGGAGGAACAUGUGGUUUAAUUCGAUGAUACGCGAGGAACCUUACCCGGGCUUAAAUUGCAGAUGAAUUACGGUGAAAGCCGUAAGCCGCAAGGCAUCUGUGAAGGUGCUGCAUGGUUGUCGUCAGCUCGUGCCGUGAGGUGUCGGCUUAAGUGCCAUAACGAGCGCAACCCUUGUUGUCAGUUACUAACAGGUUCCGCUGAGGACUCUGACAAGACUGCCAUCGUAAGAUGUGAGGAAGGUGGGGAUGACGUCAAAUCAGCACGGCCCUUACGUCCGGGGCUACACACGUGUUACAAUGGGGGGUACAGAGGGCCGCUACCACGCGAGUGGAUGCCAAUCCCCAAAACCUCUCUCAGUUCGGACUGGAGUCUGCAACCCGACUCCACGAAGCUGGAUUCGCUAGUAAUCGCGCAUCAGCCACGGCGCGGUGAAUACGUUCCCGGGCCUUGUACACACCGCCCGUCAAGCCAUGGGAGCCGGGGGUACCUGAAGUGCGUAACCGCGAGGAGCGCCCUAGGGUAAAACUGGUGACUGGG
rnacentral:rRNA from 1 species